rnacentral:snoRNA from 1 species
GGUGGUCAGUGUAAUGUAUGUUCAACAGGUCAGUGUACUGUAGUCUCUAAGACUCACCACAGAGUGAGACUGGUACCUGCCGACAGGGACUGAGAGAUAUCGGACUCCUGUGCGAUGGUUCCAUACAAA